GGGGAUACAAAUAUAAGACGAGAAGACCCCAUGGAGCUUUAAACCCAACAGCACCCGUUUAUUUUCAUCCUCACAUAAGUUAGGUUAUGCCUGUUUGGUUUUAGGUUGGGGUGACCACGGAGUAUAAAACAACCUCCAUGAAAAAAGGACCAAAAAUCCUUAUAGAGAAAGACAUUUCUAAAAUUAAUAAAUUAAUUUUUAAUGAUCCGAUAUUCGAUCAACGAACCAAGUUACCCUGGGGAUAACAGCGCAAUCCACUUCAAGAGCUCCUAUCGACAAGUGGGUUUACGACCUCGAUGUUGGAUCAGGGUAUCCUAGUGGUGCAGCAGCUACUAACGGUUCGUUUGUUCAACGAUUAAAACCCU
rnacentral:rRNA from 1 species